rnacentral:lncRNA from 1 species
GGACUGAAAUGAUGAUUGAAUUUGUACUUUCACUUAUUGAUGUUAGGGACAAGUAGAAGAGGAGAAUUCAAAGAGAAAAGUACUUGUAAGCUCAUGGGCAGUAGGAUCAAAAGGGGAGUAAAUUGGAAAUACAUACGACAGGGAAGAAGAGGCACACCGUGGACAACACACAACAGCACACAAGCGAAGGGAGUGGCAAGUGCUUUGAGGACAGUCUUACUCUUAAGUUUAAACGCUUCGGGCAUAAGUUCAAAUGUGAUCUGCAAAAUGCUGAGGAGGUUCCCAAAAAGUUGGCAAACCUGUUUAAUCACAGAGGAAAUUGUGGACUGCCAGUCAACACUGAUCUCUCACCUCUCUCCUUUCUUCCUAAGUAUGGACAAA